rnacentral:tRNA from 1 species
GGAGGCGUAGUGUAGCGGCCUAACACGCUGCCCUGUCAAGGCAGAGAUCGCGGGUUCGAAUCCCGUCGCUUCCGCCG